rnacentral:sRNA from 1 species
AAGAGCGCUUUAUUAGGCAAUUUCUGAU